GUUUGUUGGCGGAAGUGAUUUUCGCUUGAAGUUGUUAAAUAAAAACGUGCGCAUUGUUGGUUGUCCAAAUUAUUCUCGAAUGAGACGAAGAAAAUAAUAACAGAAGGAAAUAAAAAAAAGAAAGGAAAAAAAGAGAAAGAAAAAGGGACACUUUGUAAAUAGUAUCUGGUGUGGAAAAGAGAAACUCAAGUAUUAUGCAAAUUUGUUUAUUAGAAAAAGUCAUAGUAUACAGGGUGUGUCAUUGAUACGGGCGUGCUCGAUUGCAGCUACACUGUCAAAGAUAUCCAAAUAAAUCAAAUGGCACUGCAAAUGGGAAUUCAAAGUGCACGUUCUAAAAUUAUUUUGCUCUAUACAGGAUGUUCCAUUUUUACAGUUCAGCCUUUAAUAUAGUUUUUUUAAAUGUCACUCCCUGUAUAUAUGUACAUAUUUAAAUGUGCACUUUUUAGGCUUUAUAAAUCAGUUUAGUUUUUGCAAUUUGCUUUAACCAUUCAGAAGUUAUUUAAUUUUUUCUACAAUUUUGUGCGUCUGCAGGCACAUAAUUAAAAAAUCACAGUGUGCUUGGUUUUCAAGAUAUUGAGUUGGAAUUUUGUUUGUGUGUAAACAAUUGUCGGGGGUAUCUUUCGGCGACAAGACUGUCCAUUUGCAUGGCAGCAUUACCAUGCUGUGACACAUUCAUUUUGGUAAACUUUGAAGGACCAUAACUUGAUUUUUUCAAUUAGCACCCUCUGCAUUUUAUUACUGAAUAUUAUUCAGCAUCUCAUUUUACAUAUUUUUCAACUCUUAAAUUUGUUUCCAAAAGUUGAUAGUUUCGCAGAUAACUCAGUUUUUCUGAAAAAUGCACAUUAAAUCCCUUGGAUACCAACGUAGUGUGCCAUGUAAUACAAUAUAUUCUAACAUACAGUCCGGGACAUUUCUAUUUGGACAUAAAAAAUUUGAAUUUUCUGACAUUUAUACGUAUAUUCAGCGUCUAUGUGAACAAAAAAUGUUCUCUCUCUCAUUCUAUGGUCCUUUAGCUUUAAUAACAGGGACAUUUUUUAAAUUGGUAGCAUUAGAAAAUGACAGUAAACAGCUGACUGAUGUAAACAAUAACACAAUAACAAAGGAAAUGUUAUAAUUUUAAUCUAUAUAACCAGUGGCUGCUUUAAAAGUGUGUACUAACGGGAUAAUAAAAUAUUUACGCAAGUAUUUUUGAAGGUAGAAACAUUACUUGUCAUAUAACAAUUAUAGAUUAUAUGAUGAGACGGGAAUGGCACAACACAGAAUUGCAGUCAGUGAUUGUGCUGGAGAAAGCUGCUGCGACGUACUGACAGUACUGACUGUCGCUGGUUGUAUGAUUUGCGCAAUUUGUGAUAUAUUUUGUGUGAAAAACUGGAAAACAAAGUGCAUACCUGCAUAACCUCACUUAUCGCAGUUUUGCACAUUUUGAUGAUGGGAAUUGCGGUUCAAGUAAUUAUGAGUUAUAGAUGGAGCUCACUGUUUACUUCAAACUGAAGCCUUUUGGGUCCACUUUUUUCGUUGUUAUUUCCUGGUAGCGACUCUUGUUUCAAGCAGAAUGGGUGUACAGUUAAAAAUAAUCCCAUAAAAUUGUUAAUAUAACUCCGUUGCACUGGCAUGGGGUAUUUGAAAACUUACGUUUAACAAAUACGUCACAAAGUCUCAGCCAUCGUCGAAAAACAUAAUAAGGGCUUUAUAACAACAAGCGCUUUCUGAUUUUACUGUGGACGUGUGGAAGAAUAGUGUGAAAUAUUGCGAAAAACCAACUUUUACUCUUGUUUACAUUUUUGUACGUCUCUAUCUGGGAGUAGUCGUCUUUUAUAAAAAAUAUAGCCUACUAAUAAAGGAAAUUAAAGUGUU